rnacentral:rRNA from 1 species
UACAGAGGUCUCAAGCGUUGUUCGGAUUUAUUGGGCGUAAAGAGCGUGUAGGCGGCCAGACAGGUCCGUUGUGAAAACUGGAGGCUCAACCUCCAGACGUCGAUGGAAACCGUCUGGCUAGAGUCCGGAAGAGGAGAGUGGAAUUCCUGGUGUAGCGGUGAAAUGCGCAGAUAUCAGGAAGAACACCCGUGGCGAAAGCGGCUCUCUGGGACGGUACUGACGCUGAGACGCGAAAGCGUGGGGAGCGAACAGG